AAGCCGGGUUACGGUGCCCAACUGCGCGCUAACCUAGAACCCACAAAGGGUGUUGGUCGAUUAAGACAGCAGGACGGUGGUCAUGGAAGUCGAAAUCCGCUAAGGAGUGUGUAACAACUCACCUGCCGAAUCAACUAGCCCCGAAAAUGGAUGGCGCUGAAGCGCGCGACCCACACCCGGCCAUCUGGGCGAGCGCCAUGCCCCGAUG
rnacentral:rRNA from 1 species